rnacentral:rRNA from 2 species
GGGGAAUAUUGCGCAAUGGGGGAAACCCUGACGCAGCAAUACCGCGUGAGUGAAGAAGGUUUUCGGAUCGUAAAGCUCUGUUAUUGGGGAAGAAAAAAAGACGGUACCCAAGAAGAAAGUCCCGGCUAACUACGUGCCAGCAGCCGCGGUAAUACGUAGGGGACAAGCGUUGUCCGGAUUUACUGGGCGUAAAGGGCACGCAGGCGGGACUACAAGUCAGAUGUGAAAUUCCAGGGCUCAACCCUGGAACUGCAUUUGAAACUGUAGUUCUUGAGUGAUGGAGAGGCAGGCGGAAUUCCGAGUGUAGCGGUGAAAUGCGUAGAUAUUCGGAGGAACACCAGUGGCGAAGGCGGCCUGCUGGACAUUAACUGACGCUGAGGCGCGAAAGCGUGGGGAGCAAACA